GACGAACGCUGGCGGCGUGCUUAACACAUGCAAGUCGAACGAAGUGGCGAACGGGUGAGUAACGCGUGGUCAACUUGCCCUUCAGAGGGGGACAACAGUUGGAAACGACUGCUAAUCCCGCAUACGGAAGAAGGGGAUGGCGUCUGAUUAGCUAGUUGGGGGGGUAACGGCCAACCAAGGCGAUGGUCAGUAGCAGGUCUGAGAGGAUGACCUGCCACAUUGGGACUGAGACACGGCCCAGACUCCUACGGGAGGCAGCAGUGGGGAAUCUUCCGCAAUGGACGAAAGCCUGACCGAGCAACGCCGCGUGAAUGAAGAAGGUUUUCGGGUCGUAAAACUCUGUUGUUAGAGAAGCGUUAUCUAACCAGAAAGCCACGGCUAACUCCGUGCCAGCAGCCGCGGUAAUUC
rnacentral:rRNA from 1 species